rnacentral:misc_RNA from 1 species
AACAGGAGGUAGGGAUGUAAAACUGAGGCGAGAAUAAUGCUGUCUUAGCAAAUGAUAACACCCCAUUUCUUGCCUCAGUUUUACAUCCCUACCUCCUGUUNNUAAGGUAAACAAUGAAGAAUCAAGUAUCACAAGCUCUGUUAACUCAUGAUCAGGGAUUGCAGAGAGGAAAUUUUACAGUACGUCAUACAAUCAACGGUUCAAUGAAAUGAACUAAGAAGCCUGAAUCUG